rnacentral:rRNA from 1 species
CCUUCGGGUUGUAAAGCUCUUUCGCUAGGGAACAAGAAAGUCCGACGAAUAAUCGGAUGAUUUGAUGGUACUUGGUAAAGAAGCACCGGCUAACUCCGUGC